AAAUUGAAGAGUUUGAUCAUGGCUCAGAUUGAACGCUGGCGGCAGGCCUAACACAUGCAAGUCGAACGGUAACAGGAAGCAGCUUGCUGCUUUGCUGACGAGUGGCGGACGGGUGAGUAAUGUCUGGGAAACUGCCUGAUGGAGGGGGAUAACUACUGGAAACGGUGGCUAAUACCGCAUAACGUCGCAAGACCAAAGAGGGGGACCUUCGGGCCUCUUGCCAUCAGAUGUGCCCAGAUGGGAUUAGCUAGUUGGUGAGGUAACGGCUCACCAAGGCGACGAUCCCUAGCUGGUCUGAGAGGAUGACCAGCCACACUGGAACUGAGACACGGUCCAGACUCCUACGGGAGGCAGCAGUGGGGAAUAUUGCACAAUGGGCGCAAGCCUGAUGCAGCCAUGCCGCGUGUAUGAAGAAGGCCUUCGGGUUGUAAAGUACUUUCAGCGGGGAGGAAGGUGUUGUGGUUAAUAACCGCAGCAAUUGACGUUACCCGCAGAAGAAGCACCGGCUAACUCCGUGCCAGCAGCCGCGGUAAUACGGAGGGUGCAAGCGUUAAUCGGAAUUACUGGGCGUAAAGCGCACGCAGGCGGUCUGUCAAGUCGGAUGUGAAAUCCCCGGGCUCAACCUGGGAACUGCAUUCGAAACUGGCAGGCUUGAGUCUUGUAGAGGGGGGUAGAAUUCCAGGUGUAGCGGUGAAAUGCGUAGAGAUCUGGAGGAAUACCGGUGGCGAAGGCGGCCCCCUGGACAAAGACUGACGCUCAGGUGCGAAAGCGUGGGGAGCAAACAGGAUUAGAUACCCUGGUAGUCCACGCCGUAAACGAUGUCUACUUGGAGGUUGUGCCCUUGAGGCGUGGCUUCCGGAGCUAACGCGUUAAGUAGACCGCCUGGGGAGUACGGCCGCAAGGUUAAAACUCAAAUGAAUUGACGGGGGCCCGCACAAGCGGUGGAGCAUGUGGUUUAAUUCGAUGCAACGCGAAGAACCUUACCUGGUCUUGACAUCCACGGAAGUUUUCAGAGAUGAGAAUGUGCCUUCGGGAACCGUGAGACAGGUGCUGCAUGGCUGUCGUCAGCUCGUGUUGUGAAAUGUUGGGUUAAGUCCCGCAACGAGCGCAACCCUUAUCCUUUGUUGCCAGCGAUUAGGUCGGGAACUCAAAGGAGACUGCCAGUGAUAAACUGGAGGAAGGUGGGGAUGACGUCAAGUCAUCAUGGCCCUUACGACCAGGGCUACACACGUGCUACAAUGGCGCAUACAAAGAGAAGCGACCUCGCGAGAGCAAGCGGACCUCAUAAAGUGCGUCGUAGUCCGGAUUGGAGUCUGCAACUCGACUCCAUGAAGUCGGAAUCGCUAGUAAUCGUGGAUCAGAAUGCCACGGUGAAUACGUUCCCGGGCCUUGUACACACCGCCCGUCACACCAUGGGAGUGGGUUGCAAAAGAAGUAGGUAGCUUAACCUUCGGGAGGGCGCUUACCACUUUGUGAUUCAUGACUGGGGUGAAGUCGUAACAAGGUAACCGUAGGGGAACCUGCGGUUGGAUCACCUCCUUACCUUAAAGAA
rnacentral:rRNA from 3 species